rnacentral:rRNA from 1 species
GGGUUGUGAGGUUAAGCGACUAAGCGUACACGGUGGAUGCCCUGGCAGUCAGAGGCGAUGAAGGGCGUGCUAAUCUGCGAUAAGCGCCGGUAAGGUGAUAUGAACCGUUAUAACCGGCGAUACCCGAAUGGGGAAACCCAGUGUGAUUCGUCACACUAUCAUUACGUGAAUACAUAGCGUAAUGAAGCGAACCGGGGGAACUGAAACAUCUAAGUACCCCGAGGAAAAGAAAUCAACCGAGAUUCCCCCAGUAGCGGCGAGCGAACGGGGAGGAGCCCAGAGCCUGAAUCAGCAUGUGUGUUAGUGGAAGCGUCUGGAAAGGCGCGCGAUACAGGGUGACAGCCCCGUACACAAAAGCGCAUGUGUUGUGAGCUCGAUGAGUAGGGCGGGACACGUGGUAUCCUGUCUGAAUAUGGGGGGACCAUCCUCCAAGGCUAAAUACUCCUGACUGACCGAUAGUGAACCAGUACCGUGAGGGAAAGGCGAAAAGAACCCCGGCGAGGGGAGUGAAAAAGAACCUGAAACCGUGUACGUACAAGCAGUGGGAGCACCCUUUGGGGUGUGACUGCGUACCUUUUGUAUAAUGGGUCAGCGACUUAUAUUCUGUAGCAAGGUUAACCGAAUAGGGGAGCCGGAGGGAAACCGAGUCUUAAUUGGGCGUUAAGUUGCAGGGUAUAGACCCGAAACCCGGUGAUCUAGCCAUGGGCAGGUUGAAGGUUGGGUAACACUAACUGGAGGACCGAACCGACUAAUGUUGAAAAAUUAGCGGAUGACCUGUGGCUGGGGGUGAAAGGCCAAUCAAACCGGGAGAUAGCUGGUUCUCCCCGA